GACGAACGCUGGCGGCGUGCCUAAUACAUGCAAGUCGAGCGCAGGAAGCCGUCUGAACCCUUCGGGGGGACGACGGUGGAAUGAGCGGCGGACGGGUGAGUAACACGUAAAGAACCUGCCCAUAGGUCUGGGAUAACCACGAGAAAUCGGGGCUAAUACCGGAUGUGUCAUCGGACCGCAUGGUCCGCUGAUGAAGGGCGCUUCGGCGUCGCCCAUGGAUGGCUUUGCGGUGCAUUAGCUAGUUGGUGGGGUAACGGCCCACCAAGGCGACGAGGCAUAGCCGGCCUGAGAGGGUGAUCGGCCACACUGGGACUGAGACACGGCCCAGACUCCUACGGGAGGCAGCAGUAGGGAAUCUUCCACAAUGGACGAAAGUCUGAUGGAGCAACGCCGCGUGAACGAUGAAGGCUUUCGGGUCGUAAAGUUCUGUUGUAAGGGAAGAACAAGUGCCGCAGGCAAUGGCGGCACCUUGACGGUACCUUGCGAGAAAGCCACGGCUAACUACGUGCCAGCAGCCGCAGUAA
rnacentral:rRNA from 1 species